GACGAACGCUGGCGGCGUGCUUAACACAUGCAAGUCGAACGGAAAGGCCCUGCUUUUGUGGGGUGCUCGAGUGGCGAACGGGUGAGUAACACGUGAGUAACCUGCUCUUGACUUUGGGAUAACUUCAGGAAACUGGGGCUAAUACCGGAUAGGAGCUCCUGCUGCAUGGUGGAGGUUGGAAAGUUUCGGCGGUUGGGGAUGGACUCGCGGCUUAUCAGCUUGUUGGUGGGGUAGUGGCUUACCAAGGCUUUGACGGGUAGCCGGCCUGAGAGGGUGACCGGCCACAUUGGGACUGAGAUACGGCCCAGACUCCUACGGGAGGCAGCAGUGGGGAAUAUUGCACAAUGGGCGGAAGCCUGAUGCAGCAACGCCGCGUGCGGGAUGACGGCCUUCGGGUUGUAAACCGCUUUCGCCUGUGACGAAGCGUGAGUGACGGUAAUGGGUAAAGAAGCACCGGCUAACUACGUG
rnacentral:rRNA from 1 species